GGAAAACUCACCAGGUCCAGACAUAGGUAGGAUUGACAGAUUGAGAGCUCUUUCUUGAUUCUAUGGGAGGUGGUGCAUGGCCGUUCUUAGUUGGUGGAUUGAUUUGUCUGGUUAAUUUCGUUAACGAACGAGACCCCUGCCUGCUAAAUAGGUACACAAAUGAUUAUUUAUUUAUGAGACUUUCUUAGAGGGACUUUUGUUAACUAAACAAAGGAAGUUAGGGGCAAUAA
rnacentral:rRNA from 1 species